rnacentral:rRNA from 1 species
UUUUGGACAAUGGGCGAAAGCCUGAUCCAGCCAUGCCGCGUGAGUGAAGAAGGCCUUCGGGUUGUAUAGCUCUUUCGGUGAAGACGAAACGGUUAGUGUUAAUAACACUGACUAAUGACGGUACUCACAGAAGAAGCACCGGCUAACUACGUGCCAGCAGCCGCGGUAAUACGUAGGGUGCAGGCGUUAAUCGGAAUUACUGGGCGUAAAGCGUGCGCAGGCGGUCUGUUAAGACAGGUGUGAAAUCCCCGAGCUCAACUUGGGAAUUGCGCUUGUUACUGGCAGGCUAGAGUGUGGCAAGGGGGGUGAAUUCCAAGUGAGCAGUAAAUGCGAGAAUUUGAGAACACCAUGCGAGGAGCCCCCGGGAAACUGCGUAUGACAGUUGAUCUU